rnacentral:tRNA from 1 species
AUUUUCAUAGUUUAAGAAAACAUUUCAUUUUCAUUGAAAAGUUAGUAUAACUAUACUUGUUAAUA